rnacentral:tRNA from 1 species
GGAGUUGUGCCUGAAGAAAGGGCCACUUUGAUAGAGUGACUAAUGGGGGUUAAAAUCCCCCCAACUCCU